GUCUACUGACAUAUCACUUUGAAUGUGCUUGAUCUUGGGAGCUAAGCAGGGUCAGACCUGGUUAGGACUUGGUAUGGGAGACCACAUGGGAAUACCAGGUGCUGUAGGGU
ensembl:rRNA 5S_rRNA 5S ribosomal RNA